rnacentral:snRNA from 1 species
GAGUGUGAAGGUGAUCGGGCUGUGACAUCUGUCACCCCACUGAUCGCCAGGGUUGAUCUGACUGGCAAGGCGAGUGUCCCCCUCCUCCAUCCCCACUCCACAUGUGUCCCUCCCAGAGCUGCAUACUACACCCAGGAUGGUGACUUUUCCCGAAAAAGGAGGAUGUUCUUUGGUCAGGAGCAUGGCGGUACCUGUGCUCUCCUGCUAGAACCCCUCCCACAAACCUUCAGGGUCCCACAAACCUUGUGGAAAGGAGAGUAGUCAAACUUCCAGCACAUCCAAAUGAUGUGGCUGCUUGUGGCAGCCUGACUUUCUUU